CCUACGGGAGGCAGCAGUAGGGAAUAUUGCUCAAUGGGGGAAACCCUGAAGCAGCAACGCCGCGUGGAGGAUGAAGGUUUUCGGAUUGUAAACUCCUUUUGUUAGAGAAGAUAAUGACGGUAUCUAACGAAUAAGCACCGGCUAACUCCGUGCCAGCCGCCGCGGUAAUACGGAGGGUGCAAGCGUUACUCGGAAUCACUGGGCGUAAAGAGCGCGUAGGCGGGAUAGCAAGUCAGAUGUGAAAUCCUAGGGCUUAACCAUAGAACUGCAUUUGAAACUGUUAUUCUAGAGUAUGGGAGAGGUAGGUGGAAUUCUUGGUGUAGGGGUAAAAUCCGUAGAGAUCAAGAGGAAUACUCAUUGCGAAGGCGACCUGCUAGAACAUAACUGACGCUGAUGCGCGAAAGCGUGGGGAGCAAACAGGAUUAGAUACCCUUGUAGUC
rnacentral:rRNA from 1 species